GGCUUUGAAGAUGAAAAUCCCGAGUUCGACAUUAGGCUGGACUCGUCAUCAUCGGCGCACGUGUGUUGUUCCUUUUUGAAGGCUUUGCCAAGGAGUUGUGUUUCUUUUCGUUUUUUUAUGGGUUAGUGGUAGGUUGGUGGAGUUAUGUUUUUCUUUUGGGUCGACUUUGUUCGGCAAUGCUGCCUGGCUUUGCUUGGCUUUAAUAAUAUAUGGCUGCGUGCAUCAGUCGAUGCAGAAGCCGGGGUUAUCCUCCUUUUAAAAAAAAAACAUGUGACAUCAAAACUCUCUUAUAUAUAGAUAGAUAGAUAUAUUGCCAAACACUCUCUUCUAUUGCUUUAAAAUUAUUAGGCCAUGACCACAUAGAGAGAGACAGAAGAGCCAUGGUCUAGGGGUAAGAGAAGAAGGGGAAAAUAAUAUGAAAAAAGCAUUAGGAAUAGUAGACGUCGG
rnacentral:lncRNA from 1 species